rnacentral:rRNA from 1 species
UAUGAAGGGGGCUAGCGUUGCUCGGAAUCACUGGGCGUAAAGCGCACGUAGGCGGCUUGUUAAGUCAGGGGUGAAAUCCUGGAGCUCAACUCCAGAACUGCCUUUGAUACUGGCGAGCUUGAGUUCGGGAGAGGUGAGUGGAACUGCGAGUGUAGAGGUGAAAUUCGUAGAUAUUCGCAAGAACACCAGUGGCGAAGGCGGCUCACUGGCCCGAUACUGACGCUGAGGCGCGAAAGCGUGGGGAGCAAACAGG